rnacentral:lncRNA from 1 species
GUCCCCCGACGCUGCGGCCGCGCUCUUCCCGCCGACGCUGCCGCCCUUCGCCGCCGCGCCGCCGGCGCCGCUGUUCUGCUUCUCGCCGUCCGUGGCCGCGGCCGAGCCGCUGCCGCAGCGGCGGGUGCUGCUGGACGUGAGCAGCGGGCAGUACUACCUGCUGGACGCGCCGCCGCAGCAGCCCGCCAAGCGCCGCCUCUUCGACCCCGAGAGCGGGCAGUACGUGGAGGUGCCGGUGCAGCCGCCCGCCGUCGCCCCGCUGCCGCUGCCCCUGUCGCCCCUCGCCCUCAACGCCGGCGCCUUCGGGGCCGCCUACAUGCUGUACCCCGGGCUGCUGCCCGCCGCCGCCGUGCUGCCCGCCGGCGCUCUGCCGCGCCCGCUCUCCCACCCGGGCAGCGAGGGCAGCGGCGCGGCCGACCCGGGCAGCCCGGCGGAGCCCGAGGGCCCCUACUACGUGCCCGGCGGGCAGGGGCCGGCAGCGGCGGCGCGGCGCGCGGCGGCCGAGGCCAAACCGCUCGUCAGCAUCACGGCGCCCGGCGGCGGCCCGCGGCUCGUGGCACCGCCCUCCUUCGACGGCACGACCAUGCGGCUGGUGGUGGAGCACCGCUGAGCGCCGGUGAGUGCCGAGGGGCGGCGGCUGGGGGGGAGGGGGAGGGUGUGCCCCCCGUUAGCGCGCCUGGUGACGGCUUGGGAAAAGGGUUCGCCUCUUCCAGCUGGGUCGGAGGGCAAAUCCAGGCGUCGGGCAUCUGUUGGGUUCUGCAGUACAAGCUCUUCUCCCCAGUUGUCGCUUUGGAUCCUCCCACAAACUCAGUACUUCUGUUUGUCCUCGUAACUUCCCUGUCCCUGCUUGGCUCUUUCUGUCUUUCCUUAUCUGCUGGAGCUCAAGCAGCGCCUGGACGACACUCAGGCGCAGCAUCUGAUUUUUGGGUGCUUUGUGUGGAGGCAGGAGUUGGACUCGAUGAACCUUGUGGGUCCCUUCCAACUCGGGAUGUUCUAUGGUUCUGUGAUUCUCAUGUUUUCCUUUCUUCCCCUUUUGUCUUUAUCUUUCUGAUCACAUCUGUGGCUUUGCUUGGGGUAGGUUUUCCCCUAACAAGAAACUGCGAUGCGAAAGCAGAAGCGGAAGCGACAGUUCUGUUUCACACAGAUCCAAGUAGGAGCUGUCAGUCAUUUUUUCUGAUUGCUCUCGCAUUGGGUUGGGCUGUUUGUCAGGUUGUAGCUUUGAGAAGCAGCCAGAUUCCAUCGCUUAGACCUGGCUUUGGCCAGCAGAGAUGA